rnacentral:rRNA from 1 species
AACGAACGCUGGCGGCAGGCCUAACACAUGCAAGUCGAGCGAGGUAGCAAUACCUAGCGGCGGACGGGUGAGUAACGCGUGGGAACGUACCCUUUGCUACGGAAUAGCCCCGGGAAACUGGGAGUAAUACCGUAUGUGCCCUUCGGGGAAAGAUUUAUCGGCAAAGGAUCGGCCCGCGUUGGAUUAGGUAGUUGGUGGGGUAAUGGCCUACCAAGCCGACGAUCCAUAGCUGGUUUGAGAGGAUGAUCAGCCACACUGGGACUGAGACACGGCCCAGACUCCUACGGGAGGCAGCAGUGGGGAAUCUUAGACAAUGGGCGCAAGCCUGAUCUAGCCAUGCCGCGUGAGUGAUGAAGGCCUUAGGGUUGUAAAGCUCUUUCAGAUGGGAAGAUAAUGACGGUACCAUCAGAAGAAGCCCCGGCUAACUCCGUGCCAGCAGCCGCGGU